rnacentral:rRNA from 1 species
CAGUCGCCACGGUAAUACGUAGGUGGCAGGCGUUGUCCGGAAUUAUUGGGCGUAAAGGGCUCGCAGGCGGUUUCUUAAGUCUGAUGUGAAAGCCCCCGGCUCAACCGGGGAGGGUCAUUGGAAACUGGGAAACUUGAGUGCAGAAGAGGAGAGUGGAAUUCCACGUGUAGCGGUGAAAUGCGUAGAGAUGUGGAGGAACACCAGUGGCGAAGGCGACUCUCUGGUCUGUAACUGACGCUGAGGAGCGAAAGCGUGGGGAGCGAACAGGAUUAGAUACCCGAGUAGUCCCUGUCUCUUAUAC